rnacentral:rRNA from 1 species
GACGAACGCUGGCGGCGUGCCUAAUACAUGCAAGUCGAACGCAGUGGGGAAGGGUGAGUAACACGUGGGUAACCUCGCGUCAGAGGGGAUAACACUUGGAAACAGGUGCUAAACCGAUACUGAUGGAUGGACCCGCGGGGCAUUAGCUAGUGGGUGAGGUAACGGCUCACCAAGGCGACGAUGCAUCGCCGGGCUGAGAGGGUGAUCGGCCAAACUGGGAACGAGAGACGGCCCAGACUCCUACGGGAGGCAGCAGUAGGGAAUGUUGGGCAAUGGGCGAAAGUCGGACCGAGCAAAGCCGCGUGAGUGAAGAAGGUUUUCGGGUCGUAAAGCUCUUUUGUUUGAGAAGCGGUAGCUAAAGAGAAAGCCACGGCUAACUACGUGCCAGCAGCCGCGGUAAUAC